ACCUUCUCCGGGUGAACAGUCCAGUCAGAAUUCAGACAUAUUUUUUACUAAACAGAAUUUGUUUUCAUUGGCUCCAAGAGGCUCCGCCCCACCCGGCGAGUAGCCAUUUAGCAGGUUUUCAGUUCUUGAGUGGCAUCUCUCACCUCCGUCCAGUUCACGUAGACAGGACCACUUUUCUCAACAUCUUGAGCGUCCCGGUGUAACUCGCGUCGGUGGUUUUCUUUCCUCGUCUUCCCUUCCCGUUCCUGCUGGAAGCACGUAUUCUGGAGGUUUUUCCACUUACAGAAAGCGCGGGUCGAAGUGGGCUUGAGUCCACCGGCCCCAGGAACUUUAAGGGUUCGGAUUGGAGGUCCUGAGAGCUCCGCCUGGCUUCGUUCUUCCUAUUGUAGAACGUUCUAACCUGAAAUGGUCCUAUUUAACGAACAGGCCUGCACGUCCUUGGCUAAGCAUUCACAUCUUCCUAUUUUGCGUCAGAGAACAUGAACUAUAUCAACACAGGUUUGGGUGAGCAGGAAACAGCCACCUGAAACGACAACCUAUGUUCACGAAUGUUG